CGGCCUCUCAGUGUCCCGCGAGGCUGGGGGGGGUAAGUAGUGGGUCAUGUCGCCCACCUCGCUGCAUCCUUCCGUGCUGUCCUGGUAUAUACGUCUCAUCUACAGUGUUUUUUUAAGAACCUGAAACGAGGCAAUGCACGUCACUCCGGCUCGGCAUUACGCUCCCCUGCGCUGGGAGUCUAUUAUUACCAUCGGGGAACUGGAUCCUAGCAGCCCAUAAAGGGAAGAUUUAACUCCUAUGAACGUAAUGGCUGUGCAACGUGAGGGAGGAAGCUCGUCGGUCACUCAUCACUUUCCCUGCCGUGGUUCGAGGUCACCCGCUACCUCACCCACUACGUCACACACUACGCGACCGGAGCGUAGGACUUACAACCGGUGUUUUGAAAUGUCUGGCCUCACAUAAUGCUCCCGUGUGUGACGACACCUUGCAUUUCUUCGGAUCAGUCAGCGCUACCUCCACAAAUAUCUUGAGGGCCUCUCGACUCAGCACGUAUCCACCUCCUGUCGCAGGGAUGCAGUCGAGUCACGCGCCAAGGGGAAAAUAGCACGGAGUCGAUACAUCGGACCUCCGUCAGACCAGCCGGCUUCACUGCGCGCGCACACCACCUGGCCUUCACAUUUACCAGUCCUGUCUUCAGUAUUUCCCUGCACGCCUUUAGUCACUGUGCCCAGUAAUCAGUCAAGGCAGGCGAGAGAGAAGACCACCGGAUGGACGACACAGACAGGCAGACAGGGAAGCAGACGGACGGAGAGACAGACAGACAGACAGACGCACUGAUGUCCCCUUCCCCUUCUCCUUGCGAACCUCUUCUGCUCCUCACAACACCUGACUUCACUUGCAUGUUGAGAUCCACGUUCAUUCAAUGCAAGGAACACAUUCAGCUGUCUUCGAACAUCCACUCAUCAUCUGGCAAGUCUGGCGAGGACGUCGACCGCAAACAUGAACUUCUCUCGUAUCUUGCUGGAGGAUGAGAGGGAGAGGAGAGGAUAACGCGAGGAAAAUGUAGUUUUGGAGGAGCUAUGAGGAGGAGAGAGAAGGGGAUAGAUAUAAGAGGGGAGAGGUCAGAAAGAGUGGGAGACAAUAAUGGGUUUCAGAAAGAGUGGAAAACAAUAAUGGGAAGAGUGACGGGAGGGGUGUGAAGCAAGAGAAUGUAAAAAAAACGUAUCUCAUCUUUUGAAAAAGCUCACAUUUAUUUGUUGUUGUAGAUCGCACUUUUAGUAGUAGUUCGCAAGUCGUUUUUGCUAUAUAUAGUAAAUUAGUU